GACGAACGCUGGCGGCGUGCUUAACACAUGCAAGUCGUACGGUAAGGCCCUUUCGGGGGUCCACGAGUGGCGAACGGGUGAGUAACACGUGAGUAACCUGCCCACAACUUUGGGAUAACGCUAGGAAACUGGUGCUAAUACUGGAUAUGUGCUCCUGCUGCAUGGUGGGGGUUGGAAAGCUCCGGCGGUUGUGGAUGGACUCGCGGCCUAUCAGCUUGUUGGUGGGGUAGUGGCCUACCAAGGCGGCGACGGGUAGCCGGCCUGAGAGGGUGACCGGCCACAUUGGGACUGAGAUACGGCCCAGACUCCUACGGGAGGCAGCAGUGGGGAAUAUUGCACAAGGGGCGCAAGCCUGAUGCAGCAACGCCGCGUGCGGGAUGACGGCCUUCGGGUUGGAAACCGCUUUCAGCAGGGACGAAGCUUUUUGUGACGGUACCUGCAGAAGAAGCACCGGCUAACUACGUG
rnacentral:rRNA from 1 species